UUGAACGCUGGCGGCAGGCCUAACACAUGCCAGUCGAGCGGAUGAAGGGAGCUUGCUCCUGGAUUCAGCGGCGGACGGGUGAGUAAUGCCUAGGAAUCUGCCUGGUAGUGGGGGAUAACGUCCGGAAACGGGCGCUAAUACCGCAUACGUCCUGAGGGAGAAAGUGGGGGAUCUUCGGACCUCACGCUAUCAGAUGAGCCUAGGUCGGAUUAGCUAGUUGGUGGGGUAAAGGCCUACCAAGGCGACGAUCCGUAACUGGUCUGAGAGGAUGAUCAGUCACACUGGAACUGAGACACGGUCCAGACUCCUACGGGAGGCAGCAGUGGGGAAUAUUGGACAAUGGGCGAAAGCCUGAUCCAGCCAUGCCGCGUGUGUGAAGAAGGUCUUCGGAUUGUAAAGCACUUUAAGUUGGGAGGAAGGGCAGUAAGUUAAUACCUUGCUGUUUUGACGUUACCAAUAGAAUAAGCACCGGCUAACUUCGUG
rnacentral:rRNA from 1 species